rnacentral:rRNA from 1 species
CUAAUACCGCAUGAAGCAGGGGCCCCGCAUGGGGAUAUUUGCUAAAGAUUCAUCGCUGAUAGAUAGGCAUGCGUUCCAUUAGGCAGUUGGCGGGGUAACGGCCCACCAAACCGACGAUGGAUAGGGGUUCUGAGAGGAAGGUCCCCCACAUUGGUACUGAGACACGGACCAAACUCCUACGGGAGGCAGCAGUGAGGAAUAUUGGUCAAUGGGCGUAAGCCUGAACCAGCCAAGUCGCGUGAGGGAUGAAGGUUCUAUGGAUCGUAAACCUCUUUUAUAAGGGAAUAAAGUGCGGGACGUGUCCCGUUUUGUAUGUACCUUAUGAAUAAGGAUCGGCUAACUCCGUGCCAGCAGCCGCGGUAAUACGGAGGAUCCGAGCGUUAUCCGGAUUUAUUGGGUUUAAAGGGUGCGUAGGCGGCCUUUUAAGUCAGCGGUGAAAGUCUGUGGCUCAACCAUAGAAUUGCCGUUGAAACUGGGGGGCUUGAGUAUGUUUGAGGCAGGCGGAAUGCGUGGUGUAGCGGUGAAAUGCAUAGAUAUCACGCAGAACCCCGAUUGCGAAGGCAGCCUGCCAAGCCAUUACUGACGCUGAUGCACGAAAGCGUGGGGAUCAAACAGGAUUAGAUACCCUGGUAGUCCACGCAGUAAACGAUGAUCGCUAGCUGUUUGCGAUACACUGUAAGCGGCAC